UAUUUUUUUUAAAAAAAAAUAAUAAAUAAAUCAAAAAUCAAAUUAACGCUGCUUGCUGCUUUGCUUGAGUGACAAACUGACGAUUCUGUUCUCUUUCAUUUCUAACCCUAAGUCCCUAACGUUAUCUCCAAGACUCCAAUCUCCAAGCUCCCUGGCUGUCUCCCCCUCUCCCUCACUCUCACUAUCUCUCAGCCAGUCAGCCCAACGCCCACCGCCGACAGUGACACCUCCCUGCCUUCCUCACUCUCUCAGGCGAAGCCCAGGCGCCCACCGCAUGAGACAGCUGCCGCGCGAUUCUCCAUUUCUCCGAUGGUUCAAGCGCUACUUUGCACACAAAAUUGGCUUAGAGCUAAGGAAGUGCCAAUUGUUGAUGUGGAAGAAAAUUUUAAAGAGUUAGAGGAAAUAGAGAAAGAGGUGCAACGUGGUGAAUCUAACGAUGUAGACGAUGAAGUUGUUUUCGUGGACUCAUUAGUGUGAAUCACGCGAUCAAAGGGAAAACAACUCGUUGGAGAAUUUAUGUAUUUCUAGUACUUGAGACUUUGAGAGUUGAGACUUAAGAGAAUUUAUGUAAUGUUAUGAGUUUUCGUGGACUUAUUUGUAUUUUCGGUGGAUUCAAUUGUAUUUUUGGUGUUUGAGAAUCGGGACUUUAUAGAC